UAGGGAAUCUUCGGCAAUGGGGGGAACCCUGACCGAGCAACGCCGCGUGAGUGAAGGAGGUUUUCGGAUCGUAAAGCUCUGUUGUUAAGGAAGAACGAGUGUGAGAAUGGAAAGUUCAUACUGUGACGGUACUUAACCAGAAAGGGACGGCUAACUACGUGCCAGCAGCCGCGGUAAUACGUAGGUCCCGAGCGUUGUCCGGAUUUAUUGGGCGUAAAGCGAGCGCAGGCGGUUAGAUAAGUCUGAAGUUAAAGGCAGUGGCUCAACCAUUGUAGGCUUUGGAAACUGUUUAACUUGAGUGCAGAAGGGGAGAGUGGAAUUCCAUGUGUAGCGGUGAAAUGCGUAGAUAUAUGGAGGAACACCGGUGGCGAAAGCGGCUCUCUGGUCUGUAACUGACGCUGAGGCUCGAAAGCGUGGGGAGCGAACAGG
rnacentral:rRNA from 1 species